CUGGAGAUGAUGCAUAUUACAAUGACCUCUGACUUUCAGUGAUGGUUUUGUAUUCAUACUGUCUGAUCCAG